UACGUAGGGAGCAAGCGUUGUCCGGAAUCAUUGGGCGUAAAGCGCGCGUAGGCGGCAAGGUAUGUCGUGCGUGAAAUCUCCCGGCUUAACCGGGGAACUGCAUCUGAUACUGGAUGGCUUGAGAUUGGGAGAGGGAUGCGGAAUUCCAGGUGUAGCGGUGAAAUGCGUAGAUAUCUGGAGGAACACCGGUGGCGAAGGCGGCAUCCUGGACCAACACUGACGCUGAGGAGCGAAAGCCAGGGGAGCAAACGGG
rnacentral:rRNA from 1 species